rnacentral:rRNA from 1 species
GAUGAACGCUGGCGGCGUGCCUAAUACAUGCCAGUCGAACGAAACUUCUUUAUCACCGAGUGCUUGCACUCACCGAUAAAGAGUUGAGUGGCGAACGGGUGAGUAACACGUGGGCAACCUGCCCAAAAGAGGGGGAUAACACUUGGAAACAGGUGCUAAUACCGCAUAACCAUAGUUACCGCAUGGUAACUAUGUAAAAGGUGGCUAUACUACCGCUUUUGGAUGGGCCCGCGGCGCAUUAGCUAGUUGGUAGGGUAAAGGCUUACCAAGGCAAUGAUGCGUAGCCGAAUUGAGAGGUUGAUCGGCCACAUUGGGACUGAGACACGGCCCAAACUCCUACGGGAGGCAGCAGUAGGGAAUCUUCCACAAUGGGCGAAAGCCUGAUGGAGCAACGCCGCGUGGGUGAAGAAGGUCUUCGGAUCGUAAAACCCUGUUGUUAGAGAAGAAAGUGUGUGAGAGUAACUGUUCACGUUUCGACGGUAUCUAACCAGAAAGCCACGGCUAACUACGUG